rnacentral:rRNA from 1 species
CACGUAGGGCGCAAGCGUUGUUCGGAUUUACUGGGCGUAAAGGGCGCGUAGGCGGUCAGCACAAGUCAGUUGUGAAAUCUCCGAGCUUAACUCGGAAAGGUCAACUGAUACUGUGCGACUAGAGUGCGGAAGGGGCAACUGGAAUUCUUGGUGUAGCGGUGAAAUGCGUAGAUAUCAAGAGGAACACCUGCGGCGAAGGCGGGUUGCUGGGCCGACACUGACGCUGAGGCGCGAAAGCGUGGGGAGCGAACAGG